AGAGGUGGCAAGCGUUGUUCGGAAUUACUGGGCGUAAAGGGCGCGUAGGCGGCCCUGUAAGUUCCGUGUGAAAUCCCCCGGCUCAACUGGGGAACUGCACGGAAUACUGUGGGGCUUGAGUUCGGGAGAGGGAAGUGGAAUUCCGGGUGUAGCGGUGAAAUGCGUAGAUAUCCGGAGGAACACCGGUGGCGAAGGCGGCUUCCUGGACCGACACUGACGCUGAGGCGCGAGAGCUAGGGGAGCAAACGGGAUUAGAUACCCCGGUAGUCCUAGCUGUAAACGAUGAGUGCCGGGUGUAGGGGGUCAUCACCCCCCCUGUGCCGAAGCUAACGCAUUAAGCACUCCGCCUGGAGAGUACGGUCGCAAGGCUG
rnacentral:rRNA from 1 species